CAGCAGUCAGCACCGGCCAGCACGAGCGUUUGUUCUUGUGGAAGGUAAGCCGUGGUUUUAUCAUGUUUUUGGAAGCCUCAUGCAGUCAUCGUAUGCAGUAUGGCUUUGGGUGAGGUUUAUGGUCAUCCUGUGAAGGGUCCUAUAGGUGUAGAACAAAAUGUGAUUCCUCAAUCCUUGAAAUAUGUACUGGAGGGCAGAAAUUGUACCUCUUGGCGAUGAGACAUGCUGUCCACUAGGUGGUGCACCGUUGCUGUCUGGUGAGUGAAACUUUAAUAUCUGUAAUUUAAUAGUGGUUUAUUAAUAAUUUAUGAAAAGCUUUAACCAGCACUGUGGGGUAUCUGCAUGCAGUUGUAUGUCUGACUGGAUGUUCAAAUGGCAGUGCUAGAUUACUUCGGCACCUACUAUUAUUGGACCUUAUAUCUGUUGUUGGGUCCUAGUAGUGAUCGAGACAAAUUUUUCUUCCCAGGUAUGUUACAUUUUGAGACAUUGUCCAGUGUUAACAUUUAUUGCAUUACAGUAAAUGCUGAAUGCAAGACUAGUUUUCUACAAAAGCGGUCUGUGAACACCCAUGAACUACAUGAAUGCUAUGCUUUCAUGUCAGCUUUGUAGUGCUGGCAUGCAUGGUUUGAGCAUUUGUUAGUGGCCUGUCAUCACUUCUCACGCAUACCCAACGUGGCCCAGCCCUAUUGCCCCUGCUUAUAGAAGGUGCUCUCAUGGGAGGGUAACUGCAUACUGUCCCAUCCACCUUAGAAGCCAUGUGACAUUGUUUCAAAAGCUCAGCAUGUCUUGAUGAUCCUGAUUUGUUCAUUUUGGGUCCACAGAUCCCAUAUGGCUAGUUUGAAUGAUUUUGGAAGGCUGUCGUUCUUCCAGAGCUGUACAACAAAGGGGUCAGAUUUGCAGUCCGGGCUUUGCCAUCCACAUGUUACAUGGAAGGUGAGAGUGCUUCCACUGAUCUGGAUCACGUUCAAAGGGGGUCAGCCACUUGCCUCCACUGGCGAUCCUUAACGCUGUGAUCCUAUAUAACUGCCCGGCAAGACGUUAUAUGUGGAAAUCUUGUGGUCAAGAAUUUUGCAAUGUGUGAUGCAUGUAUAUUUUAGUCUGACACAGGCUAAUAAAACUUAACAUUGUGAAA